rnacentral:lncRNA from 1 species
UCCUCAUGAAUGUUUACGCGUCGCUGUCGCACGACCAAGAUGUGAGCGUCUUUAUCGAGCCACGAUAUCGCUGAAACUACGCUGUGACCUCGCAAAGUUGCUUCGUUCGGACGCAGCGAAUAAUCUAAUCGCACCAGCAGAAGAGCGCCGAUCGUCUCGCUCACGGUCCCGAUUUGUGUACAGUACCCUCAGUGAUGCAGCACAGACUGCGCCUCCCACCCCAAAAUAAAAUGCUCGGCACGAAACGUAGUAGCCACUACCCGCCUCACCGCUCUAGUUAGAGACCACAACGAAGCAGCCGCAAACAGGCGGCCAUGCGAGCAAGCAAACCUGUCAGAAUAAACGUUCAAUUUGCGCGGCCGCCCCAUGCCCAAUGAAAAGCGACCGGAAGUGACGGGCGACGCUGUACCAUCACUGCGGCGCGCGGCAGGACGGGAAGGCGGAAGCUGCGCCAUCAUGCUCGUUUUCGCGUGCGUUCGCGUCGCGCGCUGCGCGAAAUAAUUUUAAACGUGUGAUUAGUAUUGCGUGCGGGGUAGAAAACGAUGUGGCCCUUGCUUUGUGUAUUACUCGUGCCCCACUUCUAAGCAAAGCGUUCGUACGCACUCGAAGAAGUAUCCACGAAGGCUGAAACGAGAAGUUGCAACGUGCCCGGUCGGUAGUACUGGCAUGAUGGAAAUUUUCAGGCAAGUGCCCAUUUAUUUGGUAUUUGUUUUGAUCGCUUUUGAAAUAUCUCACUGUGAUCUCGUAGCAUAAUUCAUAAUUCACUAAUGUAAGAGCAAGAGCAGCUGCACUCCUACUAGGGCAAGUUAACUACCUCGAUCGCGUCCCGUGUGACUAAUGUUUGUCAAAUCUACAUCGGGCGUGGUGCGCCUGCAUAGUUACGCUUUGUUUCUCAGCGCUUGAGCGUUCAUUGAUGUGAUUCUCAUGUGCGUUCAGCGCGGCUGCUUGUAAUACGGUCGUUCGCACUUCAGUUAAAUGUGGUCGACCACUUUUGCGUCGCUUAGAAAAAGGACGACUGGCUUAGCCCCUUUUCCAAAAAAGCGGCGCGGUAUUGGUUCUCCCUGAUGCGGUCGCGUGCUGCUGUUGCUGCUUGCCGGACGCCUUCAGCAUUUUUUCGGCUCGCUUUGUCUGUGCGUGUGCGCGUGCUCGCGCUCGGCUCGAUUUGUGUGCGUGCGUGGGUGUGUGCGCUCAGCUCAGCUCGCUUUCUGUGUGUGCGCGUGCGUGCGCUCGGCUCGCUAUGUGUGUGUGUGUGUGUGUGUGUGUGCGUGCGCGUACAGUACAUGCCGGUUUGUAUGGGCCGGCGUGUUUGCGCGUGUCUACUGCGUACGUGUUUUGUGAGUGUGUUGUCUGUGGGUCGCUGUGUGUGCGUGCACGUGUUAGCGUGUCUGCCUGCAUGCAUGUAUGUGUGCUUGUUUGUAUUCAUCAAUGUGCGCGUGCGCGAUUUUGUGUCUGCGCUUUGAGAGUGCGUAUACUUGUGUGUGCGUGCAAGUGCGUUUUGUGUGCGUGCGUAUGUAUUGCAUGAGGCUGGUAGAGUUUUACUCGCAAUAAACUCUUACGAUUUGGUGCAGCGAGUGUUCCCGCCUGAAAGCCGAGUUUGGUUUCAAGCCACCCUGGACAACUGCUGUAUGAGGCGCCGUUUCUCGGGAGGACUAGUGGGAAGGCGCCAGGUCAUGCAGAUGGUAGCAGCAAUUUCGCAAUGCCCAGCCUUGGUUCCCCCCAUCAAGAGCAAGCCACUUGCGUUCGCCUUCAGACAGAUGGUUAUUGUCUUCUUGAAAGCGCUUGAGAAGACAACAUUGAUGCAAGAUUCCAGCAAUGCCAUACGCUACAUUUAUUGGUCAAGAUGCUCAGAGAAUGGAGUCCCUGCACCUCGUGGUUAACCGUGAACAUUUCGUUUUCUUUUGGAAAGCUAAAGGCCAUUUGCUGCGUCACUCGCAUUUUUGCAGCUCAGAUGUGUACUAUAUUUUUCUCAUUUUUAAUCAAUAUUCGCUGUUCAGUAUAAAAAAUGACGUACAGCGUGAAGAACAAGGACUGCGAGAGACACACUCCACUGACUUUCAACAAUAUUUUAUUGCGUUGCCACAUCGUGUGUGUUUACACAAGAGGGGUCAUGCGCAGAAAAUGAAAGCCAGUCACAAGGGGUGUUCUAACAGCAAGUCAUUGUAAAAGGAACAUGGUCACUUGAAAAAAAAAACAUCACAAUUUCUAUCUGUUGAGAUACAAAAUUUCGCUAGGGGUCAGUGUGAUAGAGGGGGCACUAACGCACACACUACCCAGUUUUCUAAUGAAAUCAGCUUCAAUAAUUUGCCGGGUGAGCUGUGUCUCGCUAAAACAUCCGUAUCUUCAAAGAAGGGCAUGCAGCCGCAGUCCCGGCGAUCAAUGCCCAAGUGGCCUUGAACAGUGUUAUGGACGUUGUUAUAGUGCUCUCUUAAACGAUCAUUUAGGCGCCUGCCUGUCUGUCCAAUAUAUUUACUGCCGCAAAAUGGGAAUUUGGUAAACCACAUUCGUUGCACACAUCGCUAAACGUUUUUUUGUGCCCGGCAGAGCAACAACUCUGACGCGAUUUAGGCGCGUUUACACGCUUACAGAGCCUUGCCAGCUUUCCCGGGGCUGAGAAAAGGACUGUGAUUCCCGCAGGUUGCCCAAUCUUUUUUAGCCUAUGGGAGACAUCAUGAACAUACGGUAGCACUGCAAACCUGUGUCUUUCAACCGGCUGGUUGCUUGACCGAGCGCGCUCAUGAUGUUUUGUGCACUUCAGAAGCUGUUCCGCUAUGGCUGAAAUUAAGGCCAAAGGGUAGCCAACCCAAGAAAGGCAAUCAACCUGUGCAGCAACACUAUGUUGCAUCUCGUGUGAGCAAUAUUUAUUGAGGCUGUUAAGGAGGCAAAGCUUUACAAUAUCUCAUUUGACGAGCUUUGAAUGUGCAGAGUUAAAGGGCAAAAGUGACUUCUUCUCGGUUCGAAGCAUUAGCACACCUUUUUGUUUGCAAGGCACAGCCCGAGAUCUAGAAAGCGUAAAGAAUCAUCAAUGGGGACAUCAUUUGUUAGUUCCAGAGGCUGCAGCUCUUAAAUAUCUCCAAGUACUCCCAAAGCAGCAGGCUCAAAAGCGUGAUCGGUGCAAUCAAUAAAUACCAGGUAGUCGUCCACAAGCCUGCACAUUUUGACAACGGGAGACUCGUCCAGGUGACCUUGAAUAUUGCAAUCAUGAUUGGCUAGAUAAAUAUCAACUAGUGGCGGUGCCAGGCAUGAUCCUAUA